AUUGAACGCUGGCGGCAUGCCUUACACAUGCAAGUCGAACGGCAGCGGGGGAGAAGCUUGCUUUUCCUGCCGGCGAGUGGCGAACGGGUGAGUAAUACAUCGGAACGUGCCCUGUAGUGGGGGAUAACUAGUCGAAAGAUUAGCUAAUACCGCAUACGACCUGAGGGUGAAAGUGGGGGACCGCAAGGCCUCAUGCUAUAGGAGCGGCCGAUGUCUGAUUAGCUAGUUGGUGGGGUAAAGGCCUACCAAGGCGACGAUCAGUAGCUGGUCUGAGAGGACGAUCAGCCAAACUGGGACUGAGACACGGCCCAGACGCCUACGGGAGGCAGCAGUGGGGAAUUUUGGACAAUGGGCGAAAGCCGGAUCCAGCAAUGCCGCGUGUGUGAAGAAGGCCUUCGGGUUGUAAAGCACUUUUGUCCGGAAAGAAAUGGCUCUGGUUAAUACCUGGGGUCGAUGACGGUACCGGAAGAAUAAGGACCGGCUAACUACGUGCCAGCCGCCGCCGUAA
rnacentral:rRNA from 1 species